AGUCAUAUGCUUGUCUCAAAGAUUAAGCCAUGCAUGUCUAAGUAUAAAUAACUUUAUAUUGUGAAACUGCGAAUGGCUCAUUAAAUCAGUUAUGAUCUACGUGACAAAUUCUUUACUACUUGGAUAACCGUGGUAAUUCUAGAGCUAAUACAUGCAAAAAAGCCCUGACUUACGAAGGGGUGCACUUAUUAGAUAAAACCAACGCGGGGUAAAACCUGUUUCUUGGUGAAUCAUAAUAAUUAAGCGGAUCGCAUGGCCUUGUGCCGGCGACGGUCCACUCGAUUUUCUGCCCUAUCAUGGUUGAGAUUGUAAGAUAGAGGCUUACAAUGCCUACAACGGGUAACGGGGAAU
rnacentral:rRNA from 2 species